rnacentral:rRNA from 1 species
GACGAACGCUGGCGGCGUGCCUAAUACAUGCAAGUUGAGCGCUGAAGGUUGGUACUUGUACCGACUGGAUGAGCAGCGAACGGGUGAGUAACGCGUGGGGAAUCUGCCUUUGAGCGGGGGACAACAUUUGGAAACGAAUGCUAAUACCGCAUAAAAACUUUAAACACAAGUUUUAAGUUUGAAAGAUGCAAUUGCAUCACUCAAAGAUGAUCCCGCGUUGUAUUAGCUAGUUGGUGAGGUAAAGGCUCACCAAGGCGAUGAUACAUAGCCGACCUGAGAGGGUGAUCGGCCACGUUGGGACUGAGACACGGCCCAAACUCCUACGGGAGGCAGCAGUAGGGAAUUUUCGGCAAUGGACGAAAGUCUGACCGAGCAACGCCGCGUGAGUGAAGAAGGUUUUCGGAUCGUAAAACUCUGUUGGUAGAGAAGAACGUUGGUGAGAGUGGAAAGCUCAUCAAGUGACGGUAACUACCCAGAAAGGGACGGCUAACUACGUGCCAGCCGCUGCAGUAA